ACAAAAAUCACUUGGCUGACCGAGUGGAAGGGAGAAUUACAGAUUAAUACGAUACUACAUUCGAAACAAGUCACGAUCUGUUUGCGUAACAGGCAAGACGAAAUUAUCGCUUUUAUUACGCAUUUUAAAAUACUUAACGAAAUUUAAUUUGCUUUUUAGUUUACCCCUUCUAUCAAAUUGACAGCUUGGAAUAAAAAAGAUGUUUAAGCGGGACAAGACGUUCUCAUGUUUUUUUUUUUUUUUUUUUUGAAGUUAAAGACAAAUAUCUUUUUUUUUCUUUUUUUCUUUUUUUUUUUCCUUUUUUUUUUUCUUUUUUUAUUAAAUAAAAAUUUAAUUGUUCAUCGUGCGCCAUGCGAUCUUAGAGUCAGUGUUUAUGCGAAAAAAUUUCGAGUUUCUCUAACCAAAUAGGUUGUCUUAAAAAUGAAAUAAAUUCGCAAAUUAAAUUCAGUGUUGUUCAACGAAGAAAAUUCUUCGGUCGUGUUAAUAAAUCAACGCAAGAAUUUCAUGUAAUAUUCUUGUUAAAACAAUUCGUUCGUCGCGUUAUGUGAAUUAAAAAAUUUUUCAUCUACAUCUUUAUCAACGAAUAUAAAGCUUCGUUUGGAUAAAAUUAUAUAUCAACCAACUCCAUGACAUCAUUCAAUCUACAUUGAGAGAGACAAGUUUUUUGGAGACAUCGCAGAAAUUCUUAAUUAAUUCAAAUUUGAAACUCCGAGUCGAUGAUAAUUAAUACUGUAGACAAAAACGUGCGUAUGAAUGAUUUGGACAGUUCUCGAGUCAGUUUGCUGUUGGAUUUCAAUGAAUAAG